GUCUGUUUGAAGGUAUAAAGAGUCUGAUCUGCCCACUGAAAUUAUUUAAGGGCCGCGGUAACCUGACCGUGCAAAGGUAGCAUAAUCGUUAGUUUUUUAAUUGGAAUCUUGUAUGAAUGAUUGGACAAGGGGAAGACUGUCUCUUUAUUUAUUUUUGAAUUUAACUUUUAAGUGAAAAGGCUUAAAUGAUUUAAAAAGACGAUAAGACCCUAUAAAGCUUAAUAUGUUUAGAUUAUUUAAUCGAAUUGAUAAAUAAGGAUUGGUUGAUUGAUCAUAUUUUGUUGGGGCGACAAUGGUAAAAUGUUUAUUAACUACUAAAUUUUAUGACAAAGAUUAGUGAGUAAGUAUUAAAUGAACCUGGAAUAAGAUUAAAAGAUUAAGUUACUUUAGGGAUAACAGCGUUAUUUUUUUUGAGAGUUCUUAUCGAAAAAAGAGUUUGCGACCUCGAUGUUGAAUUAAAAUGCCUACACAAUUGCAGAAGUUGUGGUAGUAGGUCUGUUCGACCUUUAAAAUUUU
rnacentral:rRNA from 1 species